AAGGUCAAUGUGGCUGCCUCAGGAGAAGAUCAGAAGGCCAUUGUGGCACAGCUGUGACUCACCUUUACCUGCUAUACAAUUUUCAUAGGUGAUUUUGAGAGCUUGGCCAAAUACCGUCAUCCAAUUUUAGCAUUUCUGAUGUUGGCCAUUUGGAUUAACGUAUUCUGAAACCUCAAGUCCAACAUCAUCAUUAUUGGUACAAAAACACUAAAACAGAGAUGAGUUGGAAGUGUAUCUUCAGAGCAAAUUCCUAGAUGUGGGAUCGCUGGGCCAAAAGCACUGCACUACCGUGGAUAAUCCCUGUGCGAGUCCAUCAUCCAACUGGAGCUUAUGACUGACCAGACCAACGUAAUACUGCAGAAGUGAUACUACGUGACUUCCAUGGUCGUGUCAUUAAAAGGAUACAGAUGCCAUCUGGCUCUCCAGAUGCUUGCAUUUUGGAAUCCAGCCACAAUGUUGUAAGAAAUACAGGCCACAUGGAGCCACGACAUGAGGCUAUUACAACCAACAGCCCAAGCUAGACUUCCAGCCAACAUCAGCAUCAACUACUAGAUGUGCAAAUCAACAAGUCUCCAGAUGCUUCCAGCUUCCAAUCUUUGAGUCUUCUGGCUGAGACCCUAGACACCAUGGAGCAGAGAAAAACAAUCCCCUCUGUGCCCUGUCUGAAUACCUAGCCCACAGAAUCUGUGAGAAAUGAUAAAUGAUUAUUUUGCUUUAGUCCACUAAUUUCUUGGGUAAUUUGUUACACAGCAA
rnacentral:lncRNA from 1 species